CAGUAGCCGCGGGAAUACGGAGGGUGCAAGCGUUAAUCGGAAUUACUGGGCGUAAAGCGUGCGUAGGCGGUUCGUUAAGUCUGUUGUGAAAGCCCCGGGCUCAACCUGGGAAUGGCAAUGGAUACUGGCGAGCUAGAGUGUGUCAGAGGAUGGUGGAAUUCCCGGUGUAGCGGUGAAAUGCGUAGAGAUCGGGAGGAACAUCAGUGGCGAAGGCGGCCAUCUGGGACAACACUGACGCUGAAGCACGAAAGCGUGGGGAGCAAGCAGGAUUAGAUACCCGUGUAGUCCCUGUCUCUUAUAC
rnacentral:rRNA from 1 species